UCUUACUGUCUUAAAAACUCAGAUUCUUUCAUUGAAAUGGCAUUAAGUAAACUUAAGACAAUGCUACAUGGAUUAGAGACUACCUAUAGUGCACCCAACUUGCAGGAUGUCAUUUAGUAUGCGUGUAUUCUUAACCCAACUUGCAGCCUAAUGGCUUUUUAAAGUCAAAACUUCCAUAGUCCUUUUGCAGUAUGAUUUUUGAGGCAUAUGGAGACAGAAUCUGAGCCAAUAUAUUUUAUUCCAAAUGAGGCUCUUUGAUUUCUCACAUGCUUUUGAAAUGUGAUGUUUGUCUACCCUGGAAAACUCUGCCGUUUCAACUCUCUGGAAAGCUAGGAAAGGUUUUGAAUAAUUGUAUCAUGGGUAGUUUUUGGAUUCCACUACUUGUGGGCUACUUCUGCUGGAUAAAUGUGUUGCCUACAUACAGUAUUCUCUUAACCCUGCUUCUCAAAAUCCUAUAUUUUCUGUUGUCAAGUCAAGAAUUACAAAGCCACACUUUGGCAUGGAGAAUACUACUCUACAGUUACUCAUCCUUAAUGACCUGUAGUACAGAAAAGUGAAAACAUUGUGGAGGAGAUAAAUUACCAAAAUAGAAGAUAAGCUGAAAAGGCAAUGGAAAAUAUAUCAUACAUAUCAAAGUUGCUCAUUUAUGCUAUUUUGCCAUAACAAUGCAUACAACUGAAGCACUUCCCUUCUCCAUUGGAGUUUUGUCUCUAGAGGUAUUAAAUAUUAAUCUUAUAAAGAAAAGAAAGCAAAAAAAAAAAACCCUGAACACAUGUUAAUAGGUUAGGGUUUUAAGAGCAAAUCACAAAAGCAGAAUAAGUACUUGGAGGAAAAAAACAGGAAGAGAGAGAAAGAGGGAGAGAGAGAGAGAGGUGGGGUAAAUUGUGGACCCUCCUUUUAAAGAAACAAAAUUUUCCACAGAGUUGCAUUAAUACUUAAAUUGGACUAACUCCAUGUGAAUCCUCGUAAGAAAUACUAUUUCCUUUCAAUUAACUCAUCUAUCCUACAAUUACAUGUCAUGAAAUCUAAAGGCAAAUAUGUUUACCCAGUAAGGGAAUAACAUUCGAGGCAAAAGUGAUGUCACAAACAGAUGGGAAUUCCAAGUAAUACUGAGUCAUGGUUCUAGGGGAAUAAAACAAUUACUUUACAGCUCAGUGCAAUGUAGUAUUUAAAGAAAAGGUAUUUCAAUAGAAUAGCCCAGACAAUUAUUCAACAUUUAACAGAGAUUAUAUUAGUCUAGAUAUGUUAAUUUGGAUUUUAUUCUGUUUUUUAUUUAUGUUAAUAGGUUUGGUUACUGGUUUAAAGAAAUAUUAGAAGUUUAUCUUUUAUUUUUACAAAUAGAUUAACAUUUGUCUUAGAGGGAGUUCUGCCCUUCAUGGAUAAUACCUUUACCUGCUAAAUCUAGAUUUCUUUUUCUAUAGUAAGUUUUAAACCAGUAAUUGAUGUAAAAAGAUGCAACAAAUAAAAUUAUAGCUACUAAUGGGCAUGUAUUUAUUAUACAGUAGGCAAUUUGCAGAAAGUUUUAUGUAUAUUAUUUUUAUUAAUCUUUAUGACAUUGGAAUUCCAUCAGGUAGGCAUUUUGAUUCCCAAGUAAACUAAAGAGAAGAAAACUGAGGCUUAAAGAGGGCCUGUUUGCGUGUUCCCAACUGCUAUGUGGCCAAGAAUAACAAUCUUUAAUAUUGGUAUCCUUAUUUACAAAGAAAAUGAGUGCAGAAAGGACAAGUAGUUUUCGUGAAACCACUUGGAAGUGGAGGAGAAGGGUUUUGAACUCCCAUCAUCUCAAGCUCAUGCUUUGCCAUCUCACCACAGUGAAAUGAUGGAAAACUCAAGUCUGCAAACCUUAAAUUUUCAAUCAAAGGGAGGAAACCUUGGGCAAAUGAAGAGGUCAUGGAUAUGAUAUGAAAAUAUUUUAUGAUUUUGCAUGUGAGAAGCUACUGCAUAGAUGAAUUCAACUGCAGGAUCCCUUUUAAAAAAUAUGUAUCUUCAAGAUUGAGUGUGAGCCUUCACAAACUCCUCCUUGUAUCUUAAGUCUGCUGGAGUACUGGCCUGACUCCACUCACUCACUGUGUACUUCGUUUGAAACUAACAAACAAUACAGUGACUGUCAGUAGAUGUUGCCUCCUCAGUCUACAGAGCCAACAAAAAUUAUGGAAAAUGUCAUCAGAUUUCCAUGACAACAUCACGCUGUAUAAUCAACAUGGUUCGAACUAGUCACAUCUUUGCACAACUGGACACAUCAAAAUAAUUGUAUUAUGUCAUCAGUGAUGCCACCAGACAGAGCACCAGCUCCCUUCCUACACUGGAUAGCAGACGUUCAAAUAACGCAAUGUACUGAAGAACUAAUACAGUUUAGACACCAGAGGUCUCACAAGUUAAACCCUCUAUAUAAUACAGAGCCCUCCUGAGAAUCAACUUAAGGUGAAAUGUUUUAAAGAAGAGAUAAUGGUGGUGGUGUGGUGGUACAUGUUGAGCAACCAGCUCUCUGGAGCAACUGAAAAAUACUUCUAAUCUGGCAAAUUCAGCGAGAAGACUGAGUUCCUUAAUUUCUGUCAGCACCAGUGAAAAACUGUCCUAAACUGACCCUGGCUUACAGAUGUACCACUGGAUCUUGGACUAAAUGGUAAUGGUAAUCAUUCUGAGCUUCCAUUAAAAUUCUAAGCCUUCUUCCAUUUUAUUUCUUAUUAACAGCUAUUAUUGUUGUUGUUGUUGUUGUUGUUGUUGUUGUUGUUGUUAUUAUAGCAAAGAAGAACAGCAGAAUGGUUGGUGGAGAUUCCUAUGCUUUCGACCCAUGGCGGGGUCACUAAGUCAGGUGAAUCACCUCCCACCCCUAAAGAUUCCCACCCAGUUAUGCCUUCUAAUGUGCUGUUCACAGUUUAUCAACUGAUUCUGAAAUUCUGAGACUUAACAGUUUUAAACUGA
rnacentral:lncRNA from 1 species